rnacentral:rRNA from 1 species
UGGGGAAUUUUGGACAAUGGGCGAAAGCCUGAUCCAGCAAUGCCGCGUGUGUGAAGAAGGCCAGCUUCGGGUUGUAAAGCACUUUUGUCCGGAAAGAAAUCCUUGGCUCUAAUACAGUCGGGGGAUGACGGUACCGGAAGAAUAAGCACCGGCUAACUACGUGCCAGCAGCCGCGGUAAUACGUAGGGUGCAAGCGUUAAUCGGAAUUACUGGGCGUAAAGCGUGCGCAGGCGGUUUGCUAAGACCGAUGUGAAAUCCCCGGGCUCAACCUGGGAACUGCAUUGGUGACUGGCAGGCUAGAGUAUGGCAGAGGGGGGUAGAAUUCCACGUGUAGCAGUGAAAUGCGUAGAGAUGUGGAGGAAUACCGAUGGCGAAGGCAGCCCCCUGGGCCAAUACUGACGCCCAUGCACGAAAGCGUGGGGAGCAAACAGGAUUAGAUACCCUGGUAGUCCACGCCCUAAACGAUGUCAACUAGUUGUUGGGGAUUCAUUUCCUUAGUAACGUAGCUAACGCGUGAAGUUGACCGCCUGGGGAGUACGGUCGCAAGAUU